GACGAACGCUGGCGGCGUGCUUAACACAUGCAAGUCGAACGGUGAAGCGCCUUCCUUUUUGGUGGGUGUGGAUGAGUGGCGAACGGGUGAGUAACACGUGAGUAACCUGCCCCCUUCUUCUGGAUAACCGCAUGAAAGUGUGGAUAAUACGGGAUAUUCUGGGUCUGUCGCAUGAUGGGUCUGGGAAAGAUGUUGUUUCGGUGGGGGAUGGGCUCGCGGCCUAUCAGCUUGUUGGUGGGGUGAUCGCCUACCAAGGCGGUGACGGGUAGCCGGCCUGGGAGGGUGGACGGUCCGACUGGGUCUGCGACCCGGCCCAGACUCCUACGGGGGGCAGCCGUGGGGAGUAUUGCACAAUGGGCGCAAGCCUGAUGCAGCGACGCCGCGGGUGGGAUGGAGGCCUGCGGGUUGUGAACCUCUUUCGCCAGUGAAGCAGGCCUGCCUCGUUUGUGGGUGGGUUGACGGUAGCUGGAUAAGAAGCGCCGGCUAACUACGUG
rnacentral:rRNA from 1 species